UGGAGAAGGCCUGAAAAAAGAAACUUUCUGCUCCUGUAGCCCCUGGCACUGCAUCUCCUUGCUUUCAUAUGCUGAUGCCUAUGUUGCUUGUGCACUGAACCAACCCUAAUAAUUCUUAAACAAACAAACAAAAAAAACAAAAACAAAAGAAAAAACUUCUGAACACUGCUAUACCUGAGCGUUAGCAAAGCAAUGGCAUUUCCUUGUUCAGCUGAAAAGAAGGACUGAAGCUGUUCUGGGAUUUCAUCAUACCUAUUUCAUCAUACCUUCUAGAAAGCAAGUGUAUUCUCUGAAGUCUGAUAAAAAGAAACUGCCAUCUGUUAGGCCAUGAAGCACGAGAAAUAUCAGAAGAAAAUUCCAAAGUAGCCAUGCUCUGAGAGUAUUUUGUCCUGAAUUGAGUAAUGCUCAAAUGUUAUCUGAAUGUUGGAAGAAACCAUUUAAAAGAAAAAUCUUUACAAGCAAUUAUGCAUGCUGAAGCAAUCUACAUAGCAUACAGAAGAUUAUGA
rnacentral:lncRNA from 1 species